rnacentral:snRNA from 1 species
AUACUUACCUGGCGCGGGGGAUACCGUGAUCAAGAAGGCGGUGCCUCCAGGACGAGGCCUGUACAUUGCACUCCGUAUGGGGGACUGACUCCUGCGACUACCCCAAAUCGGGGUGGCUCGAGAGCGCAUAAUUUUUGGUAGUGGGGACAAGCGUUCGCGCUGUCCUUU